UUCCAGACUCCUACGGGAGGCAGCAGUGGGGAAUAUUGCACAAUGGGGGAAACCCUGAUGCAGCGACGCCGCGUGAGUGAAGAAGUAUCUCGGUAUGUAAAGCUCUAUCAGCAGGGAAGAAAAUGACGGUACCUGACUAAGAAGCCCCGGCUAACUACGUGCCAGCAGCCGCGGUAAUACGUAGGGGGCAAGCGUUAUCCGGAUUUACUGGGUGUAAAGGGGGCGCAGACGGCGAUGCAAGCCAGGAGUGAAAGCCCGGGGCCCAACCCCGGGACUGCUCUUGGAACUGCGUGGCUGGAGUGCAGGAGGGGCAGGCGGAAUUCCUGGUGUAGCGGUGAAAUGCGUAGAUAUCAGGAGGAACACCGGUGGCGAAGGCGGCCUGCUGGACUGCAACUGACGUUGAGGCCCGAAAGCGUGGGGAGCAAACAGGAUUAGAUACCCGCGUAU
rnacentral:rRNA from 1 species